CUCUCCUGCUACUCCUGAGUAAGCCUUGCUGCCCCACCAGGUGGUUCAAGGUGAGAGCUAGAGGGAGGGCCAUCUCGGACCUGGUCAAAGAAAAAGGAUCUCACUAUGUUCCCAGGUUGACUCAAACUCCUCAGCUCAAAUGAUCUUCCUGCCUCAGCAUCCUGAGAUUUUGGAAUUAUAGUGAUAGGGGAUUGAACCCAGACCCUUGAGUGCUGCCACUGAGCACAUCUCCAGUUCCUAUAUUUUGUUUUAAAAUUUAUCUACUAGAACCACUUGAUGAUCAUCCUUGAGGGGAAAAUGUGCUAAAAGGAAAAGGUAGAAAAAAAACUUUGAUUUAAUUUUAACGAGAACAAUGAAGACAUAGAAUUGUUAGACUGGAGAACAAUUCCUUUUCCAGUAACAAAUAUUUUUUUAAACCUGAGGUGAACAAACAAAAUUCCCUAUAAUGGAAGAUGAAAUUAAAACCUUCCACGAUAAACAAAAGUUAAAAGAAUUUGCAGCUAGAAAACCAUCUCUUCAAAACAUCCUCAGCAAAUCAUUACAGGAAGAGGAAAUGGAAAAUAACAAUGAAAACCAACAGUGGGAGGUAGUACAGUAAAGGGAAAAAAUAAUCAAAGAGGAAAAACAAACCAUGUUAAGUAACAUAAAUAAACAAAUAUGGCUGGAAGAACAAUCCAUAUCUCAAUAAUAACCCUAAAUGUUAAUGGCUUAAACUCACCAAUUAAGAGACACAGGCUAGUAGAAUGGAUCAAAAAAAAAAAAAAAAAAAAAGAUCCAACAAUAUGCUGCCUACAGGAGACGCAUUUGAUAGGAAAAGAUA